rnacentral:rRNA from 1 species
CGUAGGGUGCAAGCGUUAAUCGGAAUUACUGGGCGUAAAGCGUGCGCAGGCGGUUUUGUAAGUCUGUCGUGAAAUCCCCGGGCUCAACCUGGGAAUGGCGAUGGAGACUGCAAGGCUAGAGUUUGGCAGAGGGGGUAGAAUUCCACGUGUAGCAGUGAAAUGCGUAGAUAUGUGGAGGAACACCGAUGGCGAAGGCAGCCCCCUGGGUCAAAACUGACGCUCAUGCACGAAAGCGUGGGGAGCAAACAGGAUUAGAUACCCUGGUAGUCCACGCCCUAAACGAUGUCUACUAGUUGUCGGGUCUUAAUUGACUUGGUAACGCAGCUAACGCGUGAAGUAGACCGCCUGGGGAGUACGGUCGCAAGAUUA